rnacentral:rRNA from 1 species
AGCGAACGCUGGCGGCAGGCCUAACACAUGCAAGUCGAACGAUCCUUCGGGAUAGUGGCGGACGGGUGAGUAACGCGUGGGAACGUACCUUUAGGUUCGGGAUAACUCAGGGAAACUUGAGCUAAUACCGGAUAAGCCCUUUUGGGGAAAGAUUUAUCGCCUUUAGAGCGGCCCGCGUUAGAUUAGCUAGUUGGUGAGGUAAAGGCUCACCAAGGCUCCGAUCUAUAGCUGGUCUGAGAGGAUGAUCAGCCACACUGGGACUGAGACACGGCCCAGACUCCUACGGGAGGCAGCAGUGGGGAAUCUUGCGCAAUGGGCGAAAGCCUGACGCAGCCAUGCCGCGUGAAUGAUGAAGGUCUUAGGAUUGUAAAAUUCUUUUAGCAGGGACGAUAAUGACGGUACCUGCAGAAAAAGCCCCGGCUAACUUCGUGCCAGCCGCCGCCGUAACAC